rfam:Sorghum bicolor cultivar BTx623 chromosome 1, whole genome shotgun sequence.
AAACUUGACGACGAGGAGGUGGCUUCGUACAUUCUCGCCGGGCUAGACACGGAUUUUGAUCCGGUUGUCUCGUCCAUGUCGUCGCGUGUGGAGUCUCUCACCCUCGGAGAGCUCUACACGCAUCUCGUCAGCUGGGA